AUUUCAAAGCAAACCAAGGAAAAAAGGAUAAAUCUUACUCAUCAUCCUUAAUCUCGUUGGGUUUUAAAAGGUGUGAAUGGGAAAUGAAGUUUUUUCCCGAAAAGACACCAAGAGAAAGGAUGCAAUUUGAAUGGUACACUUUCACAUUGAAUGGAUUGUGACUUUUCGGAUAAGGCACAGUAGCAACUGUUCAUACUACCCUUUGUUGACUAUAAAUAGUGGCUUUUGGAGGCGAUGUUUCGAAAGAAGAAGAUGUAGAAUCCAUGAUGAAAACUGUGGUUGAUCGAUGGGGAACAGUUGAUAUCUUGAUCAAUAAUACAGGUUCGCUACCACCUUUUUUUUUUGUGGGAACGAGUCAAAAAGAUCAUUUAAUCAAUUUUGCACCAAGAUAAUACCAACAAGUUAACGUUUGUGCUGUGGCAUUAAGCAUCCAAAAAAAUCUUUGCAACUUUCUAGUUAGAGAGGAACAUGUUUUUACCCCAAAUAUACAAGGGAAACAAUAUUUUUUAAUGCAGGCAAGCAACAGUCAUCCUAGUUUGCAUCAAGUUUUAUUAGAAUUCCCAAUCAGUAGUUCUCUUAUUCUUCUUUUCAGGUAUCACGCGUGAUACCUUGUUGAUGAGAAUGAAGAAGUCUCAGUGGCAGGAGGUUAUUGAUUUCUCUCAAUUUUCUACAUCGAAUUUUCUGAACUUCUUCUACAUAUUUUCUUACAAACAUAACUGUAGUCUUUGUGUGAUUUGCUACCGACUUUGAGUUCGACGAAGUUAUUGGCGUUUGAGGAACCGCUACACCAAUAAUAGUUAUAUCCAUUUUAUCUUGAGAGAAAAUAAUUCAUAACCUCGGGAACAAUGAGGAGAUUAAAUUACUUGAAGACAAAUUAUGUGGUCUCGGAUAUUUUUUAUGUAAAGUUUUUAAUUUCUGUUUUCCAAUUCUUCUAGCUAUAACAAAAAAAACACAAAAAGGACAAACUUUAACAACUCAAUUCAGAUAUGGCAGUUUCACAAGACACAAACAUGGAAG